rnacentral:rRNA from 1 species
AAUCAACGCUGGCGGCGUGCCUAACACAUGCAAGUCGAACGAGAAAGCGGGGGCAACUCCGUGAGUAAAGUGGCGACCGGGUGAGUAACACGUGACUAACCUGCCCUCGAGUGGGGGAUAACCUCGGGAAACCGGGGCUAAUACCGCAUAACAUCCUGUGGGUGCAAUUCCCGUUGGAUCAAAGGAGCAAUUCGCUGGAGGAGGGGGUCGCGGCCGAUUAGCUAGUUGGCAGGGUAAUGGCCUACCAAGGCAACGAUCGGUAGCCGGCCUGAGAGGGCGCACGGCCACACUGGAACUGAAACCCGGUCCAGACUCCUACGGGAGGCAGCAGUGGGGAAUGUUGCGCAAUGGGGGAAACCCUGACGCAGCAACGCCGCGUGGAGGAUGAAGUCCCUUGGGACGUAAACUCCUUUCGACCGGGACGAUGAUGACGGUACCGGUGGAAGAAGCCCCGGCUAACUUCGUGCCAGCCGCCGCUGAAAUAC